rnacentral:sRNA from 1 species
GGAGGGAGGAAGGUGGCAAGAUGGUGUUGGAAAGCACUAUGGUGUGUGUGGACAACAGUGAGUAUAUGCGGAAUGGAGACUUCUUACCCACCCGGCUGCAGGCCCAGCAGGAUGCUGUCAACAUAGUUUGUCAUUCAAAGACCCGCAGCAACCCUGAGAACAACGUGGGCCUUAUCACACUGGCUAAUGACUGUGAAGUGCUGACCACACUCACCCCAGACACUGGCCGUAUCCUGUCCAAGCUACAUACUGUCCAACCCAAGGGCAAGAUCACCUUCUGCACGGGCAUCCGCGUGGCCCAUCUGGCUCUGAAGCACCGACAAGGCAAGAAUCACAAGAUGCGCAUCAUUGCCUUUGUGGGAAGCCCAGUGGAGGACAAUGAAAAGGAUGUGAGUCCAAGUGGCAGCUGGGGAAUGUGGGGAGCCCGUGUUUGGGACUGAGGUCUUUCAGCCCUCAGGAGAACCUGGCAGAGGCAUCAGGCUCAUCACUUUGGGGAAAGGUGAAUGUGGAGAAUUCAGUGAUUCUGUUGGAGGACCUUGGGGAGGUCAAUAGAUUUCUGUAUGCUUUUAUGCUGCGGGUCCUUUCCCACCUCGAGUAUGGAACAGAUUUCUUGAUUUUUCUCCCCUUCUUCCCAGCUGGUGAAACUGGCUAAACGCCUCAAGAAGGAGAAAGUAAAUGUUGACAUUAUCAAUUUUGGGGAAGAGGAGGUGAACACAGAAAAGCUGACAGCCUUUGUAAACACGUUGAAUGGCAAAGAUGGAACCGGUUCUCAUCUGGUGACAGUGCCUCCUGGGCCCAGUUUGGCUGAUGCUCUCAUCAGUUCUCCGAUUUUGGCUGGUGAAGGUGGUGCCAUGCUGGGUCUUGGUGCCAGUGACUUUGAAUUUGGAGUAGAUCCCAGU